GUCAGUGUAGUUUAGUGGUUUGAGCGUUGGGCUGUGACUCUGGAGGACAGGGUUUGAAUCCCAGCUAAGCCA
rnacentral:tRNA from 1 species